UUUCUGAAAUCCCUCAUAUCUCUCUUUCUCAAUCCCUAAAUUUCUCCAUGCCUCCGAUCUCCAGCCUCUCACUGCACCUCUCGCACGAUCGACUAUUGCCUUUAGCCUUUCCGAAUAAAUGGCCUUUGAAUCGAGCUCAUCCUCGUCUCCUCUGGUGGGUCAAUGGAAGUUGAGCGCCACCUCUGCUUGCUCGGGACACCGCCUCCUUCGGUCCCAUCGCCCCCGCUGGCCGGGGUGAAGAAGUUGAGCACGGACUAUGCCGGUGAACCUUGCCAUCAGAGAUUCCAGAAGCAGUGACCCGUAUGUUGUUGUCAAGUUGGGAAAGCAGAAGGUAAAGACUUGUGUGGUGAAGAAGAAUGUGAAUCCGGAAUGGAAUGACCUUCUCACUCUAUCAGUUUCAGAUCCAAAUACGCCAAUCAAGCUGGCAUUCUUUCACUGAUGGUGGAGAGGUCAUGUGAGAAAGAUAGUCUUUUAUGCUAUUCUAUUUUUGUAUAGGUGCUUCACUUUAAGAAGUGCCAUAUACUUUUGUCAAGAAAAGGUAAAUAAACUUUCUAAAGGUAGUAUUUAAAAUAAUUAUUGUGAAUGUUUGGAUGUUUGUAUAGAAACUGUUUGACAAAAUAUUAACUUGAUCUGGUAGUAUAUUAUAUUAACUUGAUAAAUGUUAAGUUAGUUGAAAAAAAUUAUAAUCUCCCACUAUGCAAUUUAUAAUAUGUUUUCCCCUUCUAUUAUGCUCUUCUCGUAAAGAGUUUUACUUGGCUUUAAAAAAUGCUCAUGAUUAAAUAUACUCCUGUUUUAUGUAUGGCUGAUUUGUUUGAAUCAUAAAUUGAAAGAUUUUAUCGCAUUGUGCUAUGUAUAGCUUAAAUUUGGCAACAUUGUUAUACAAAAUAUAUUUGUACAGAGAGCAUGUUUAUGAAACUUAAUAAGCAUUUUUUGGCAUGUUGUGAAUUCUAUCAAUUAUGACUAGAUAGAUGUCAGAUGAAAUAAUUGAGAUAUUAUUAUUGCUGUUAAAAGUAUAAAUCUCAUUUCGUCUUUAAUAGAAUUGCAAAAAGUUUACUCUAGCAUAUGAUAACUUCUAUAAUUAUUUUCAACUAUAAUUUUCUGUGGCUAUAUUAGAAUGGUUCUGGCUUGCUUAUCUAGUCACCGGAAAUAUAACAAAGUUUAUACCCUACUGUUAUUCUUGUUUCAGAUGAUGUGUAUAUAGUCAUGCAAUGCCAUGAAGUUUAAGUACUUGACAUUGCCUAACAAAUUAUCAAGAAAUUUGAGAUAGGACUUAUUUAUAGAAAUUCAAUUGAGCCUUGGUAAAUGUAAUUUUUUACCUGAAAUUUUAAGUGUUAAUAUUUGAUAAGCUAUUUGAGACUCACUUUUUUUUUUUUUUUUGCUGAAGUUUUAUUAUUAACCUCACUUCAAUUUCUAAUUCUUGAGACCUUGAUAUUAUUAACAUUAUGCUUCUUUAUACAUAAUGAUUAAUUGGAUGCAAAUACACUACUACAUUAUGCUUCUAAUUCUUGAGAAUAAUGUAUUUGACUCAACCCAAGGCUGAGAAGAAAGAGUAAGAUGGGCAUUUGGUUUUUCUCUUCUUUGCAUUAUUAUUUAAUGAUUUAAUUCAGAUUUGACUCAUUUUCAUUAUAUUAUAACAUUGUAAAUGUGUGUAUAUGCUGAGACAGACUUCAAAGAAACUAUUUUGCAACAGUUUGCAAGAGGUAUGCUUUUAACUUUUAUUUUAAUACUAUGCAAAUUUUAGAGGAGUUUGAAUAUCUUAAAUAUUCAUCCAUAGUGAAGUAGGUUCUGAUAUUGUUAUUGUGUGCUGCGGUGAUAACGGAAGGUUGAGAACUUGUGUGUUUUAAUGAAGUAGGAUCUGAGAAAUUUGUGUGCUGCGGAGAUAAGAAAGAAAACUUGUGUGUUGUUUGAAUUGAUGUAGACUUGUCUAUGAUCAUCCGAUAAUUGAAUUGUGUUUGUUUGAUUGGUUUGAUUAUAACAUAUACUUGUAUGAAUGUACAUAUUGCGUGUUGGCAUACGCAUAUAGCAUAACCUUUUGUAUUUCUUGUUUUAUAUAUGUUAGUUUUCUUCUUGUCCCUUGUCUAAUGUCUUUAGUGAGGUGAUUUAUAACAUUGAGCAUCGUUCUUGUGAUCACAUGUAGGUUCAAUAGUAUAAAGUGCUAUACAAAAGUUUGAUGUUAUUAGCAUAUUGGUUGAUAAUUUAUGAUUUCUUUUUUUGCACCAGAACUACUAUUUCAAUUUGUGUUUAUUUUAAUUGAAGCAUAGCUUUAUGUUUCAUUGUAGUAUAAUAGUUUGAUCAUUUUCUUACUUAAAUAAUAUCCAAGUUAUUUUUUUUCUUUCAAACUGUAAUUGUUUUCACCAUGUUCAAUGGCCUUAGCUGAAACAAUGUAUUCUUUAAACAAUUGAAAAUUUUCUAAAAAAAUCAAUUGGUGAGUUUUGGGUUCAAUCAAUUGAGACAUAGGAUAUAUAUUUAUAUAUUUACUCUAUGAUUUCCUUUUCUGCACUAGAACUACUAUCUCAAUUUGUGUUUAUUAGCUUUAUGUUUCUUUGUAUUCUAAUAGUUUGAUCAUUUUCUUAUUUAAAUAAUAUCUAAGUUAUUUGUUUUCUUCCAAAUUGUGAUUGUUUUUACCAUGUUUGAUGGCUUUAGCUGAAACAAUGUAUUCUUUAAACAAUUGAAAGUUUUUUAAAAAAAUCAAUUGGUGAGUUUUGGGUUCAAUCAAUUGAGACAUAGGAUAUAUAUCUAUAUAUUUACUCGAUGAUUUCCUUUUCUGCACCAGAACUACUAUCUCAAUUUGUGUUUAUUUUAAUUGAAGCAUAGCUUUGUGUUUCAUUGUAGUCUAAUAGUUUGAUCAUUUUCUUACUUAAAUAAUAUCUAAGUUAUUUUUUUCUUCCAAACUGUGAUUGUUUUUACCAUGUUCGAUGGCUUUAGUUGAAAUAAUGUAUUUUUUAAACAAUUGAAAAUUUUCCAAAAUGGAUUGAUUAUCACUUUGAUAAAAAUGUUUCGCUUGUAUAAAAUUCAUAAUUAUAUGGCUAUUUAUUAAAAGAAAUAUAUAUGCUUGACCAAAAGAAAUUAUGAUUUUCUAUUUUUUGUAGACUUUCAAAUGUGAAUUAGAUUUAUAAAUUUGGAUUAGGCUUAUUCACAACUCGUAGUGUUACUUUAACAACUUUGUUUGGUAUGCUUGUUGUGUUACUUUAAUUAUCUUAUGCAUAUUACCUACACAGGGCAUGUCUUUAUAUUUGUAUAUAUGUAUAUUUAUUUCUCGAUGUUUAUUGUAUAUUUGCUAAUGUGCUAUGAAUGAUUGUUAAUUUGGUUUAUUAAUGUCUAUGUGAUUUCAUAAACAAACUAGCUUGAGCACUUUUAAAUUGAAACUGACAGGUAUGCAUUUCCAUUGGUCAUUGUAAUAGAGUUAGUAAUUCUACAGCUCAUUCCUUAGCAAAACUUGCAUUAUCUCUUGAUUCCCCUAGAGUUUGGUGGCUUGUUUUGCCUUCAUGUCUGUGGCCUUAAAACUCUUUAUGUUUGAUGUUUUUGCUUCAUUUUGGCUGUUUGCCCAAUAAAAUUCUAUGAAUUUCACUCAAAAAAAAAAAAAAAAAAGAAUUAAGACUAACUACUUAAGCCAUAAGGCUAUCCAAUUUGAUAAGAAAAAUACAACUUUUAUGUAAAUUAUUUUUGUGACUGAAAACCACAAUCAUCCUUUUUAUUUAUUUUGCAACCUCAAGUUCUCUAUUUAUUUUAGUUUUGGUUUAACUUUAAUGGUGUUUACUCUGUAUUGCAGGCUAAAACUCUACUUGGAUAUUUAAGAGAACCAAGACAAUUAUAUAAGAGAACCAAGGCAACACGAAAUUCUUCUUCAAGUUGUUGGGUAUUAUUUUCUUUCUUGCUUGUAAGAAUUAUGUACAGUGAGGAUUUGAUGUAUUAUUUACAUCGAGAAUAAUAAAUUUUUAUUGAGAAUUAUAAUGAAUUUUCAUUAAGACUUAUUUAGUCUCAUGGGGAUUAGAUGUAUUAUUUACAUUUCAAUUGUAUGAAUAAAUGUUGUAUGUA